UAUAUGUGUAUACAAAAUGUGUGUGUGUGUGUGUGUGUAUAUAUACACACACACAUAUAUAUAUACACAUAUA